rnacentral:rRNA from 1 species
AUACGGAGGAUGCGAGCGUUAUCCGGAUUUAUUGGGUUUAAAGGGUGCGUAGGCUGUGCGUUAAGUCAGGGGUGAAAUGCCGUCGCUCAACGACGGAGCUGCCCUUGAUACUGGCGUGCUGGAGUACGGAUGCCGUUGGAGGAAUGAGUGGUGUAGCGGUGAAAUGCUUAGAUAUCACUCAGAACACCGAUUGCGAAGGCAUCUGACGAAUCCGUCUCUGACGCUGAGGCACGAAAGCGUGGGGAUAGAACAGGAUUAGAUACCCUGGUAUUCCACGCCGUAAACGAUGAUGACUAACCGUCGGCGAUAGACAGCCGGUGGCCAAGCGAAAGCGAUAAGUCAUCCACCUGGGGAGUACGUCGGCAACGAUGAAACUCAAAGGAAUUGACGGGG